ACCUGUUUAUCAAAAACAUGUCCUAUAGAUUUUAUUUUAGGUCUAACCUGCCCAUUGAUUAAUUAAAAGGCCGCAGAAUUUUAACUGUGCAAAGGUAGCAUAAUCAUUAGUUUUUUAAUUGAAAGCUUGUAUGAAUGGUUGGACGAGGUGCUAGCUGUUUCAUGAUAAAAUAUAAAAUUUUAUUUUUUAGUCAAAAAGCUAAAAUAAAUUUAAAAGACGAGAAGACCCUAUAGAUCUUUAUAAUUAUGAUUUUAUUUAUUAUAAGGAUUAAUUUAAUUAAUAUUAUUUACAUUAUUUUGUUGGGGUGACAUAGAUACUUAUAUAACUUUCUAUAUUUUAUUUACAUUUAUUUAUGAAUAUAUGAUCCUUAUUUUUAGAUUAAAAAAUUAAGUUACCUUAGGGAUAACAGCGUAAUUUUUUUGGAGAGUUCAUAUCGAUAAAAAAGAUUGCGACCUCGAUGUUGGAUUAAAAUAA
rnacentral:rRNA from 1 species